GAGGGGCCGGCGACCUUUGACCUUUCUCCAAAGGGGUUGGUCACCUGGAUUAUAAAAGACUUCGGAGACAGCCAUCCAGUGUUUGUUGAUCUGUAUCCCUUGAUGUUCUGUCUUCCAUUAGAUAAGGGCUGUUAAUUCUUGGUUUGAAAAAAAACAGACAAAGUCCAAAGGACUCUGCAUCGAGGAGAGGCCUAUGGGACCACCUGGCUUCAUGUGUGGAUUUCCACGGCUCUUGCCCAGAGGCGGGUACACUGUGUUCCAAUGUGCCACGGAACUCACGCAGUGGCACUUUGUGGCUUCAUGAAGGAAGAGGCAGGCCACGCAACACUUCCUCCCCAAGCCAAGGAGAAGUAUCACUUUUAGAGGCAGAGGAGCGGAAGGCAGUGGGUGUGACCAAAAGUGCCAUUUGUUAAAGUCUCCUCCAAUCUGAAAUAGUUCCUCAGUUUUUCCUC
rnacentral:lncRNA from 1 species